GUGGUGCUGCUGGCUGGGACCCAGCUGCAGGGUGGCGGGGCGCGCUGCAUGACCCGGCCACCGCCGUCCCCACUCCUAGGCACACAGGUCGAGGAGGACCGCGCUGACUACAAAGAGUUCCAGGACUUCUCCAGUCUGCCUGACACCCGCAGCAUCGCCUGGGACGACUCUUUCUACCCUUUCCAGGAGGAGGAGGAGGAGCACGGCCUCGAGGGUGUGGAGAGCGUCCUGGAGGAGGGCGUCCUGGAGGAGGGCGUCCUGGAGGCGUGGGGCUGCUGCAGACGUUGGUGCGGCGGGGGGUGGGCGCUGAGAAGGCGCAGGAGACUGACCACAAUGGCUAGACCGGCCUUGAUGUCGCCUGCUACCACGGCUUUGUGGAUAUACCGUGGUGGCCUUAGCUGAGUGCCCCCACAUUGAAGUCAACUGGCAGGACAGGGAGGGGAACGCAACCCUAAUCAUAGCUGCACAGGCAGGAGCUGCCCCUGGCCCCAUGGGCACAGUUGCCUUAGACACUGGCUCUCAGCCUUGCACUUCCUGCGUCAGCAUCACCUGGGCUGGUUCAUUUGAGUUUUCACACAGAUCUGGUGGAAACACAGGCUGCCAAGCGCUGCCCCUGGAGUCUUUCUUUGAAUAGGCCUGGGGUGGGGCCCAAGAAUGAGCAGAAGAACAGGUUUCCUGGUGAGGCUGAUGCUGCUGGCCCAGGGAUCCCACGUUGAGGACGGAGGGCUUUGAGGUUUUCCUGCCUGAUGAUGGCCAGGAAGCCUUCUCAGUAGGCAUGGAAGACCAGCAGAGUCCCAGACCCCAGGAGAGAUGUCGUCAGAGGGACACAGAGGCAUCAUGGAAUUAAAGUGAAAAUGAAGAAAGGAGCUGAGCAUCUGUUUAAAGACUUUCCUGCGCUGUUUGGCUAAAGAGGCUGUUCUGGCCGAGUCAGGGCACUCUAUCAUCACCAACUACUUGUUGAACUAUGGAAUGGGUCUUGAUCUUGAAGGAUGGACGCGUUCGGGUUGAAAGCAGCCAUGCAGGGUGGAACCGAUCGCAUCCGAGCCCUGAGCUCGCAGGGGCGGGUGUACACUCGAGGGCCCCUGCCGUGGGAUGUCGCCAGAGGAGUGGCCACUUACACGUCCGCCUCAUGCAGAGGCUCCUGGAGCGCCCCUGCCAGCAGCGGUUGGGGAAAAAGUACCAGCUUAGCUGCCUCCGCUCCACCAGAGGGCGGGGAAGCCCGAGGGCUGGAAGAACUGGCUGCAGAUGGUCAGGGACUGCAAGCCUUCCGCGCUGACGCCGCGCUCCGUGUGUGGCCUGGAGGACCGGGGCGCCCUGGACCACAUGGUCAGGAUGACCACCAGCCUCUAACAGCCCCGCUGUGGCCCUCGCGUGCCAGACCGUGUGCCCCCAGAGCUCCCUGUGCCUGGGGAAGAGGCGGCUGGCGGUGCAGGAAAUCCUGGGGGCUCAGGAAAUUCUAGCGACGCGGCGUGGGGUGGGGAGGCAGGCGCAGGAGGCGGGCGAAGUGGAGGGCGCA
rnacentral:lncRNA from 1 species